UGCGUCCGCCUCGUGGACGCCGGUGCCCAUCCAAGCCCACUCCCGGUUACUCUGACGCCGUGCCCCUUGCCCGGCCCUCGCCGGGGAAGCCGCAUAGCCGACAGCCGUCGCACCCCAGGGAGCCCUUUCAUG
rnacentral:sRNA from 1 species